rnacentral:lncRNA from 1 species
CGUCACUCACUCCAAAAGUAAUGUCCUAUUAUUUUUUAAGUGUUUUGUUCUACAGCUUUCAUUUUACUUGCAGAUCGGAAAUUCUUUCGUUAAGUUCAUUUAAUCUUUUUUUAUACAUAAUUGCUGUCACUCUACUGUUUAUCGCUAUCUCAAAACGAAUAUCUGUAUAUCCACAUGGUAAAAUCAAUGACACAUAUGGGACAAAAUUAAUAAAGUUGCUUGCAUUAUAUUUGAACACAUAAAACAAAAAAAAAAAUUUGAUCCAAUAAACUGACGAAUGUCUUCAUAUCACUCAUCAGUUUGAUGACGACGAAUCCUUUGUGGCCAUGGCCAAAUAUAUAGGUAUUGCUACUAUAUACAGGCACUUGUUUUAAGAAGGCAAAAAGCAGUUGAAAGAGAAGAUACUAUAUGGAAAAAUGAGAUUUUGUUUCUGUUUCACCUAUAAAUCAAUAACAAUGAUGUAGAAUAUUUUUUCCCUUAAAUUUUGGAAGUUAUAUAAUAUUUAUCUUUUCUGUUGUUUUAGUUUACGAGAGGG